rnacentral:rRNA from 1 species
GACGAACGCUGGCGGCGUGCUUAACACAUGCAAGUCGAACGGAAAGGCCCUGCUUUUGUGGUGUGCUCGAGUGGCGAACGGGUGAGUAACACGUGAGUAACCUGCCCUUGACUUUGGGAUAACGUCAGGAAACUGGGGCUAAUACCGGAUAGGAGCUCCUGCUGCAUGGUGGGGGUUGGAAAGUUUCGGCGGUUGGGGAUGGACUCGCGGCUUAGCAGCUUGUUGGUGGGGUAGUGGCUUAACAAGGCUUUGACGGGUAGCCGGCCUGAGAGGGUGACCGGCCACAUUGGGACUGAGAUACGGCCCAGAGUCCUACGGGAGGCAGCAGUGGGGAAUAUUGCACAAUGGGCGGAAGCCUGAUGCAGCAACGCCGCGUGCGGGAUGACGGCCUUCGGGUUGUAAACCGCUUUCGCCUGUGACGAAGCGUGAGUGACGGUAAUGGGUAAAGAAGCACCGGCUAACUACGUG